rnacentral:rRNA from 1 species
CCUAAUACAUGCAAGUAGAACGCUGAAGAGAGGAGCUUGCUCUUCUUGGAUGAGUUGCGAACGGGUGAGUAACGCGUAGGUAACCUGCCUUGUAGCGGGGGAUAACUAUUGGAAACGAUAGCUAAUACCGCAUAACAAUGGAUGACCCAUGUCAUUUAUUUGAAAGGGGCAAAUGCUCCACUACAAGAUGGACCUGCGUUGUAUUAGCUAGUAGGUGAGGUAACGGCUCACCUAGGCGACGAUACAUAGCCGACCUGAGAGGGUGAUCGGCCACACUGGGACUGAGACACGGCCCAGACUCCUACGGGAGGCAGCAGUAGGGAAUCUUCGGCAAUGGGGGCAACCCUGACCGAGCAACGCCGCGUGAGUGAAGAAGGUUUUCGGAUCGUAAAGCUCUGUUGUAAGUCAAGAACGAGUGUGAGAGUGGAAAGUUCACACUGUGACGGUAGCUUACCAGAAAGGGACGGCUAACUACGUGCCAGCAGCCGCGGUAAUACGUAGGUCCCGAGCGUUGUCCGGAUUUAUUGGGCGUAAAGCGAGCGCAGGCGGUUUGAUAAGUCUGAAGUUAAAGGCUGUGGCUCAACCAUAGUUCGCUUUGGAAACUGUCAAACUUGAGUGCAGAAGGGGAGAGUGGAAUUCCAUGUGUAGCGGUGAAAUGCGUAGAUAUAUGGAGGAACACCGGUGGCGAAAGCGGCUCUCUGGUCUGUAACUGACGCUGAGGCUCGAAAGCGUGGGGAGCGAACAGGAUUAGAUACCCUGGUAGUCCACGCCGUAAACGAUGAGUGCUAGGUGUUGGAUCCUUUCCGGGAUUCAGUGCCGCAGCUAACGCAUUAAGCACUCCGCCUGGGGAGUACGACCGCAAGGUUGAAACUCAAAGGAAUUGACGGGGGCCCGCACAAGCGGUGGAGCAUGUGGUUUAAUUCGAAGCAACGCGAAGAACCUUACCAGGUCUUGACAUCCCGAUGCUAUUUCUAGAGAUAGAAAGUUACUUCGGUACAUCGGUGACAGGUGGUGCAUGGUUGUCGUCAGCUCGUGUCGUGAGAUGUUGGGUUAAGUCCCGCAACGAGCGCAACCCCUAUUGUUAGUUGCCAUCAUUCAGUUGGGCACUCUAGCGAGACUGCCGGUAAUAAACCGGAGGAAGGUGGGGAUGACGUCAAAUCAUCAUGCCCCUUAUGACCUG